CCAUUAGCCCUAAAUGGAUCCUGGCUAGGCUGGAACCCGGCUUACCCCAGGCCCCUUUUCUGGCGCAAAUUUGAGUCGGCGCCUCUAAGAUGAAUACGGGAGUAACCUGCCUGGGGACUGGGGUGCUCCAGCAAAUGCCGGUUUCAUAAGCAUGGUUGCUUGAAACGAAGGGUCUCACCUACCAGGUGGCUUCGGCCCCGCCUUACAUAUGGACCCUCGGCACAUUAUGUAGUGCUGAGGUAAUGGCCCAAAAAGGCAACCAUCGCUGACCGACCAGAGUGGGACAGCGGCCGUUGGGACUGAUACAGGGCCCAGACUCCUGCGGGAUUCCCCAAUCGACAAUCUUCUGCAUGGCCAAACCUCUGACGUAACAACGCCUCUCGAGUGAUGAAGGUUUUCGGAUCGUAAAGCUCCCUUGUUAAGGAAGAACAAGUGCCGUUCAAAUAGGGCGGCACCUUGACGGUACCUAACCAGAAAGCCACGGCUAACUACGUGCCAGCAGCCGCGGUAAUACGUAGGUGGCAAGCGUUGUCCGGAAUUAUUGGGCGUAAAGGGCUCGCAGGCGGUUUCCUAAGUCUGAUGUGAAAGCCCCCGGCUCAACCGGGGAGGGUCAUUGGAAACUGGGGAACUUGAGUGCAGAAGAGGAGAGUGGAAUUCCACGUGUAGCGGUGAAAUGCGUAGAGAUGUGGAGGAACACCAGUGGCGAAGGCGACUCUCUGGUCUGUAACUGACGCUGAGGAGCGAAAGCGUGGGGAGCGAACAGGAUUAGAUACCCUGGUAGUCCACGCCGUAAACGAUGAGUGCUAAGUGUUAGGGGGUUUCCGCCCCUUAGUGCUGCAGCUAACGCAUUAAGCACUCCGCCUGGGGAGUACGGUCGCAAGACUGAAACUCAAAGGAAUUGACGGGGGCCCGCACAAGCGGUGGAGCAUGUGGUUUAAUUCGAAGCAACGCGAAGAACCUUACCAGGUCUUGACAUCCUCUGACACCCCUAGAGAUAGGGCUUCCCCUUCGGGGGCAGAGUGACAGGUGGUGCAUGGUUGUCGUCAGCUCGUGUCGUGAGAUGUUGGGUUAAGUCCCGCAACGAGCGCAACCCUUGAUCUUAGUUGCCAGCAUUCAGUUGGGCACUCUAAGGUGACUGCCGGUGACAAACCGGAGGAAGGUGGGGAUGACGUCAAAUCAUCAUGCCCCUUAUGACCUGGGCUACACACGUGCUACAAUGGACAGAACAAAGGGCAGCGAGACCGCGAGGUUAAGCCAAUCCCACAAAUCUGUUCUCAGUUCGGAUCGCAGUCUGCAACUCGACUGCGUGAAGCUGGAAUCGCUAGUAAUCGCGGAUCAGCAUGCCGCGGUGAAUACGUUCCCGGGCCUUGUACACACCGCCCGUCACACCACGAGAGUUUGUAACACCCGAAGUCGGUGAGGUAACCUUUAUGGAGCCAGCCGCCGAAGGUGGGACAGAUGAUUGGGUGAAGUCGAAUCAAGGUUGCCAUCGGG
rnacentral:rRNA from 1 species